GAUUGAUUUGAUCACUCAUCUAGGACAACUAGGUUUUGCCAUAGACGGUGAACUAAGUCAGGAUUUGAUCCUGCAGUCUCUCUCUGACUCAUUUUCUUAGUUUGUCAUUAAUUAUCAUAUGAACAAACUGAACAUGAGCUUGCUAGAAUUGCUGAAUAUGUUGAAAAUAGCAGAGAGCCAUUUCAAGGGUGAAAAGGCUCAGGUCCUUCAUAUUGAUA
rnacentral:lncRNA from 1 species